CGCUAUUCGGUCCGUGUCAGCGUGCGCUCCCCGGAGCGAGUCGCUAGGUAACAAGGCCGGCUCCGCAGACCCGGGGCCGGGGAAGCCCGCGCGCGUCGUCAGCAGCGGCGCCGCGGGGCGGGGCGGGGGUCGUAUGGACCCUCCUCCAUCGGGGCCUGAGGACUCCGGGUUCGCAAGCAGUCCCCCUCCCGGGAUACCUUAACCUGCGCUGAUAGCCGCCGCCGAAGUGCCCCUCCUCUGCAGGGACCCCGCCGCCGCCAGCCGUGCGCACUGCUUGGCGCGCGGCCGGGUGGGCGCCCCGCUGCCGCGGUGGCCGUCGCUCCCGGUUCUCCCACCAAGCCCCGGCGCGGGGCAUGAGGAGCCCCCGGGCACCGCCCGGAGACGACCCUACUGCGCGCACACCUCGCCCGCGGCGGACAGGGACAUGAGCAGCUCGCAAGGGGUUGGGUGCCCGGCGGCCAGCCCUAGCCGGCGGCUGCAAGCUGGUCAGCGCUGCCGGAGAGAAUGAGGCAGAAGCCGGCGGCAGCCUCUUCUUUCUCUUCCUCCACCUCGCCUUCCUCCGGCUCCGGCGCCCCGGGCCCCGGCCGGGCUGUGGCUCUGCUGCGUGCCCCGUGCGCCCCCCGCCCGCCUCCGGAUGCGCUGCUCGGUUAGCCUGGGGAGGAAGAUAAAGACAUUUGCAACCAAGAUGGUAAUCACGAGUGGAAAUGAUGAAGACAGAGGAGGCCAAGAAAAAGAAAGUAAAGAGGAGAGCAUCUUGGCGAUGCUGGGGAUUAUCGGGACCAUCCUGAACCUAAUUGUGAUCAUAUUUGUCUACAUAUACACCACUCUGUGAAUGGCCCCGCAUGCCCUUCCAAGACUCCGGAGGGCCAAAGGAUGAGAGUCCCGUGUGUCAGUACAUCAGUGAUCGGACACUGGGCCGGCAAGCUGACGUGACCUCCACGCUCCAUCAGCGGCACCCCCGGACUUUCAAGACAGGUCACAAAACUAAACCGGUCCCUCUGUGGGGCACGGACCCCAAAGCACAAUGAAUCCAGCGACACCCGCUCACACCACAAGGAACUCAACAUCGUGGGCCGGGGGCCAGGAAGGACUCUCGAGGACCAGCUUUUGACGCCGUGGGUGGGCGGAUGGCUGCGAAGUCCGUGAUCCCAGAUGGCUGACGGAAGUCACCUCUUCAACAAGAUGAGCAGGGGGGGCGCGGCUCAGCCGUGUGUCUCCUAGGUCAGGCAUUUCAUCUUCACUUCACGGACCUGUUGCUUACAUGAAAACCACAGGGGCAGUCAUCUGACAGGCAUCCCAUUCAUCAAAAGUUGAUUUGAUGCUGGAGAGAUAACUUAUUUUUCCUUUUUUUUCCCAUUGGCUUGACGUGUGUAUCUGUUCAUAUCAAGGUUUAUAAAUAUAUAUUUUUAACAAAUGUGCUCUAUUUUUUGGCAUGAACCAAAUAUUUGGAGAGGCGCUCCAAGACCCAUAGCGCUUUCCUUGGUUUUAUCCGCUAUGCUCCCUCAACGGCAGCCGUUCCCUUGUGUAGCCAUUCUGCUCCCACUUGUCUCAUGUUGAAUCUUUUACCUUCUCUCUCUCUUUGGUCUGAAGGACGUUGUCACAUAAUACCGGCCACUGCCUUGGUUGGUGCAUUACUUAAGAUUGUCCGUUGGGCGGCUUUUUGUUGGUAUAUCAGUGGCUUAAAAUGGUCGUGGGCAUGCAGACCUCGAGGCACCAUAUCUACUGAGAAUUAUGCAUGUAUAAGGGCUGAAUGAUAUAGAUCAGCUUAAAAAAUAAUAAAGAAAGGAUGACUGUUGAGAAAGAAGAGCAUGGUUGUAUUUGCAGAUCAACUAAAGGACGGAAUAUUCAGCUUCUUACUGGCAGCAUUAUUGUUUCAUUCUUGUGACCAUUCGUUUAUCAGAUUUUGAGUUUCGUGGCCAUGUACACCGUGAGAGGUAGGAGGGACAAGGGCAGAAAGUCAGCAUUAGGUGCCGUUACUUUCUUAGCGAGCUGCUUCUGGUCCUUUUGAAAGUAGGUGGGGUGUAAAUGACUUAUAAAUUCCCCACUGUGAGCUCACCCUGGGUGGUUCAGCUCCGUCAGGCUAUGGGGAUACCCCCCUCUCAUGACAGGUGACUUUUCAAAGGCAUUGGAACAGGGCUUAGGAUAGCCCUAGAGGAUUGUUGUGUUCUUAAGUUCCAGGUUUACACCCACAUGAAGCUACUCCCUCUCUGGCAGGGAUGGUUAAAUAAAUACAAAUUUGCCUUGUUCUCUUGGCCCACUGAGACAGACCCUUGUGUGGCUACAGUGGCAUGGCCUUAAAGAGAGGGUCCGUAUUCCUUCCGCCAGCACCACCUACCCAUGGGUGGAAAGAGGCAGUGGCCUGCCUGAUUGGAUACAAAUUGCUGCCAAGGAGGUCUCUGCUGCCAGAUCUCUCCUGCCACACCCCCACUAUGAUGUCUGAAAUUCCACCAUUAGAGAGUCACUUCCAGAACUCUUCUAAGGGACCAGGCUCUUUAAUAAAACAAAUGCCCCUGAGCACAUAGCUCUGACGCUGAUUCAUCAGGCAUCUUCUCUUCCCCACCAGAAGGAAAGACACUAAUGUGGAAUGAGGGCACGUUGUGUGCCCAGGACUGGGCCAGGCUCUUGACACAGCUUGAGUUCUUGAAUCCUCAGAGUGACCCUGUGAGCUAAGGAGUGCUUCCUCCACCACAGGGAAGAAGAAACGAGGGCUGAGAGAGAUCAGGGAUCUUCCCAAGAUCAUGUGGCUGCUGAUGGUGGAGUCAGGACUCAAACCCUGAUCUGUCUGAUUCCUUCACCCAGAGAGGGUCAGAGGCUGCUGGGGCAGAGACUAAGUGGAGGGGGGGGGGGUUGCAGGAAAGGGUCACUCGGGUUGGGACACAAGCCUGCCCAUUUGCUGAGGGUCAGCUCUGUAUAACUGCCCACAAUAAAAAAAAAAAAAAUCCUGGGAACACCUUGGACGCUGGCAGAAUAUCAUACAGGAAGUACAAGGGACAAGAGGAGGCUAGUAUGAAA